rnacentral:snRNA from 1 species
UCGAUCCUUUAGACCUUC